rnacentral:rRNA from 1 species
GACGAACGCUGGCGGCGUGCUUAACACAUGCAAGUCGAGCGGUAAGGCCCCUUCGGGGGUACACGAGCGGCGAACGGGUGAGUAACACGUGGGUGACCUGCCCUCAGCUCUGGGAUAAGCCUGGGAAACUGGGUCUAAUACCGGAUAUGACUCCAUGACGCAUGUCGUGGGGUGGAAAGCCUUGUGCGGCUGGGGAUGGGCCCGCGGCCUAUCAGCUUGUUGGUGGGGUGAUGGCCUACCAAGGCGACGACGGGUGGCCGGCCUGAGAGGGCGACCGGCCACACUGGGACUGAGACACGGCCCAGACUCCUACGGGAGGCAGCAGUGGGGAAUCUUGCGCAAUGGGCGAAAGCCUGACGCAGCGACGCCGCGUGAGGGAUGACGGCCU